UAGUAUGAGUCAUGAUUCAUAAGUUAGUCCUAUUCUAAUCAAUUAGCCAAUCCACUAAUUGUUUUUAACUUUAAGGCUCAAAGUUUUAUUUUGUCACCCAUUGUCAUUUUGUCUCGAAGAGCCUUAGUUCGAUCCGUCCGAAUAUUAGGGCAAAUAAAAUUCCUCUUUCUAUCUUUCGAUCUUCCUCCAUCGCUGACGAUGGUAUUUUUGUGAAUCCUGACUCCAAGUGAAGAGGAGGGGA
rnacentral:lncRNA from 1 species